rnacentral:rRNA from 1 species
CCUACGGGGGGCAGCAGUGGGGAAUAUUGCGCAAUGGGCGAAAGCCUGACGCAGCGACGCCGCGUGAGGGAUGAAGGUCUUCGGAUCGUAAACCUCUGUCAGCAGGGAAGAACGGUCACUGUGCUAAUCAGCAGUGAAUUGACGGUACCUGCAAAGGAAGCACCGGCUAACUCCGUGCCAGCAGCCGCGGUAAUACGGAGGGUGCGAGCGUUAAUCGGAAUUACUGGGCGUAAAGCGCUCGUAGGAGGUAUGUCAAGUCAAGGGUGAAAUCCCCGCGCUCAACGUGGGAACUGCCUUUGAAACUGGCAAACUGGAGUGUGUGAGAGGAUAGUGGAAUUCCAGGUGUAGGAGUGAAAGCCGUAGAUAUCUGGAGGAACAUCAGUGGCGAAGGCGACUAUCUGGCACAUAACUGACGCUGAGGAGCGAAAGCGUGGGUAGCAAACAGGAUUAGAUACCCUAGUAGUC